CUAAGCAGGUGCUUUUGAUCCCUUUCGUAGUUCAUGAUACCAUAUUUGAGUGCAUUUUGCUUAAUAUUUGUUACAUGUGUUCUUGAAAAAUAUGUUUGUUUCUGUCGAAGGCGAAACAUAACGUGUGUUACUCCCAUGGUUUAUUUAUUUUCAAAAUACCUAUGGUUCUGUGGAAUCAAUUCUGGAUCUGGAAACCAGAGAGUAUGUGCAUUGCUGCAAUCAUUGAGCUGUGCAUUGUGAAAUUGUACACGUGACAUAUGGCCGGUGCUUGUCUGAAUGCAACCAGAGGAGUCAGGAAUCAGGCAAUGCUACUCAUGGGAAACCAGCACUGUUCAGCAACCGGCCAAAGGUGUGGGGAAGAUGGCGCCUCUUUGUCCACAGGCACAAGUAUGCCAUAACAAUUCGUGUCCCCUUGUGCUCUAAGGGAAUGUAAUACAGCUGCUAAUGCUCUACAAGAGACUUCGGAAGCCUUCUCUGUCUGCAACAUCCAAAAUCAGAUGAAAAGCGUAACAGUAUACAACUCUGGUGAGCUGGAAGAGAGCUAGCUAUAGAUAAGAAGCUAUCUGGCUAUAUUGGUGUUAAUGACAAAACGAAGGGCGGAGUAAUAUGGAAGGAAAUGCGUGUUUCUGUGAUUCUGUCGAAGGCGGAACAUAACGCGGGGUACUCCUAUAAUUAUUGGCAAAAAAAUACUUGAGGUUCUGUGAAGUCCAUUCUGGAUUGAGAAACCAGAGAGUAUGUGCAUUGCUGCAAUCAUCAUGGUCUCAUGGAGUUGUCUAUUGUGGGAUGAGAUUAUACAUACACGGGACAUAUGGCCGGUGCCUGUCCGAACGCAACCCUUGGCGUAUGCAACCGGAGGAAUCGGUCAGGACUCGGGGCAACGUCACUCGUGCACUGUUGAGGACCCAGCAACCGGCCAAGGUAUGGCUUUGGCAUGUCUCCCUCACUAAAAGAUUAACCUGCAGUAGUACCUGUGUUAGAGAAAAAAGUUUAACCUGUGGUAGUAGUACAGUACCGAUGCUUGUUGGAAUGCAACAGGUGUGUGUGGGGAAGGAAGGAAGACGGCGCCUCUCUGGCUGUCCACAGGUAUUAAUACCGUUUUGUCUCAUCCCCUGUCUUCUACCACCAGCCGUAGAGAAGAAAAAAUGCAUGCAUGCCUGCCUGCACAUAAUACUAUAAAAUUACUGCCCUAAGUGUCACAUGAGAUUAGGUGAGUCUGUUUGCAUGGGGCAUUGAAGCCCGCCUCUGUCCUGUCCUGUCCCGUCCUGCCUUGCAGUUUGUUGCAUUUCACUGUACUACUGCUGCCAUCAGCAUGAUAAACAAGCAUAUCUUGGUCCAUAACUUUGACCCCUCAGUCAAACCAUCUGCCACCCCUGUCUGUCCUCCUGCCGCAACGCAAUGAAAAACGCAAUGAAAAUAACCAAUGUUGUACCAGAUGCUAGCCAUUGUUCCUCUGCUUCACCCCUGCCGUGCCACCUCCACGGUAUUUUCACCUUUUUCAGGCUCGCAAAUACGCCGGUGGCCGAGAGAUAAUACAGUACCAGUGGCGGCACCUGGGUCUCCUCCACUGUUUCUGGAUGCCGAUUCCACGCUUUGGUCCGUAUCUGUACGCGCCCUCCCUCGCUCGCUGGAGGAAGGAAGGAGGGAAGGAAGCAAUCAUUCUGCACGGCCGGGUAGCCAUGGAUGGGCUCGCGCACACGAACCAAAGCAAAGCGCAAGUGGGUGGAGGGAGGGGGAGGCGCCUUUUCCAGCGGUUUGUUGCGAUUGGAAAUCUCUCUCCAGCUUUUCCCCUCCGCCCGGGCAACAGAAAGGCGAGCCCUUUUCCCCUCAUGGCCACCGGGGAGGAAGAUUCCCUCUGCUCGCAUUAGGGUUUUGCUCGCUCGCCCCAUGCGGUUCCAAGAUGCCGCUGCUAAACCCUGUGCUGGCUUUAACUGUCGCUGGGAGAUGGACGGUGAAAGGAGGGGGAAUCUCCCGUGCGCUUUGUGAGAUUUCUCUCCCUCUGGCUCUGGCUCUGACUCAUCGCACUCCCUCCCAAUGCUCGUGCUCGGCUGGGCGGGCCGGGCCUGUGGUGGUGGUGUGCUUGCAUUGCGUGACAAUGACACGUCCCAGUCAGAAGAAGAUGGAGGAGGACAAGCCGUGGUGGAGGGGAACUGGCAAUCAUCAUCAUCACAAGCCAAGGCUGCGAGCCUUUUUGGCCACCCCAUUGUGCCGUGUGGCUUUGUCAGUGACUCAGCGCCCUAUGCACCAUUGCUACCACCUUCCAACUGUUCCAGAUAGGACAGUCAUCUUCUAACCUUGUUAACCACAACAGAAAGCUUUGGAUGAUUUCUACUCCAUUGGCCGGCGAUGUGUAGGUUCAAAGGAAAGCAAAGCAUUUUCCAUGGAGCACUAGUGUAACACUCACAGAGCCUUUGUUUUGAAGCCAAGGCAAGGCAUGGCGAACGAGAUGCAGCGUGGAGCAGAAGUUGGCAGGGGCAUGGAGGGAGCGAGCAAUGUGUGCGAGGCCCCAGAAGAUUUAACAAGGACAAAAAAGAAAUCGUGUGUAGGGGCUCGUCCAGCUAGAACGGCGAACUUUACGGGAAAAGACUGACAGGCGUAGCCUAGUUUUUCUAAUAAUUGCGCCCAUGAGAUUGAGAUUCCACAAGGAUUCGAGAUCAAUGACAACGCAAGUAAUGAUAUUUUAGCAGCCUGUGCUCCUGCGACCUAGGGAAGAUGUAUAUGUUAUAUCUCGAAUACUUUUCCCCUGCCCCUCCUUUUCAUUUCAAGCAAAAGGGGUGACGACUAUGCUGUAGCGCCCAAGUAACAUAUUGAUUUGCCCACUUGACCUAGAUUCGGUGUGGACUCGUGAUCAGCUGCGAUGCUA